CCCCACACACACACACACACACACACACACACACACACAGGCACACAUUGAACCUACUUUCAACCAAACAAAUGUUACAACAAAAGCAGGUUUCAUGAACGGACAUGCACCCUUAAGCAUAGGUCAGACACAGUGCAUGGAAAGUGCUUGACAGCAUAACUGGACCCAGUUCUCUAUACCCAGAGGACGAGUCGGGCUUCCUGCUCGAACCAACCCAAGCUUGCAGUCUGCUAGCUGAGGUACGCUCUACUCUACGACUGCGGCAGGCCGAUCUGAAGCCAAAGCAAGACGUUUUGACAGUGAAAUAUUGAGGUGACUGCAAACGGUAUCCAAAGACAACAAAUUUACUUUCCAAAAUAUCGCCAGAACUGUGGUGUUUUUCAGUAUCGUUUUGAUUUUUCCGAAAAAGAAAUUUAGAGUAAACCAUAUUUUUUAAAUAUUUGACAGUGCCAUCUGUGUUGAAACUUGUUUUGGGGAUUUUUGUUUCCGAUUGAGUUGAACAAGUGUCACUGAUGUCAAGGCAUCAAUUUGAGCCUGUUCUAAACAGUUGGGGGGGGUUCCAUUGGCACUACACACAAAUUCCUCAUUCCUCCAGUAUGCUUUACAAAAUCUUUCAUCAAAUGUACAUUAGUGGUUCAUCAAACACCAUACAAUCCAUGACUACUGGAGAUAAACCAAGUCAAAGUUUCAUAAAUAACUGUAUGACCCAUAGAUAGCUUUGAUAAUAUAUAUAUAUUCAGAUUUCCUAGAACUGCUUUAGAAGGAAAGGGUUAAGUAAGGGUUAAGUUCUUGACUUGGCAAAAAAGUAUGUAUAGUACCCACAGAGAGGCUGCCUUGAACGAGCUGCAGACACACAUGUAACUGCUCCGUUCAUCUGGAGUCCACACUCCCUCCCUCCCCCAUGCAGCCAUCAUAUUUUCCAAUUUAUAUAUAGGGCUUGUACAUCGCAACGUCACCUCACAAAGAGCGCCUCCAUUUUGAAGCAUAGCAGCAUUAGUAGGUUAAUUAUUACAUUAGUAGGAACGUUUUUUUUGGUCAGUGUUGAUUAAUUUAUCGUGAAAUGAGAGGUCAUUAUGGGGAGACAUUGUCAUUUGAAACUGCCACACAUAGUUUUGAUUAGUCAAGGUAACGUUACAUUUAAGUUGAUUAGGGAUUUUACACUUAAUUACAAAACCAUUGAUUCCUCUAUAAAUGGAGCAUUGCCAACAAAAAUUCCCAUGAUGCAUUCUGAUGUACAAGCCCUAUUGCACAUUCUGGCAAUCCGGAAUCUUGCAAAAUAAAAUUCCUUGCAAGAUAUAUGUUAAAUACAGCCCAUUUAAAUCUCCUCUGCAACCUCAGUAAACAAAUAAUGACCUUCACUGAUACAGUUUUACUACACACUUUGCCUGAAAGCAUACAAAAAUAAUCUACAGCAGACACUGACGAUAUGUCCUCCGCUCCAGUCGACAUUCCCCAGCCCAUGAGAAGACCAUGCAACAGAAAGUGCUUGUUCAAAGUGCCUUCUAAAAAGAAGAACGAAACCAAUAAACAGGGGCCUCCAAAAUAUAAAGGCUCUACAGCCGUACGCAUCCCGAUCCCUGAAAAGAAGAGAGCGAGGAAGAGUGAGAUCAAACAAGCCGGGAGUGCUUGGCAAACAGUAACUCAAGUAAAUUACACGGAAGACAUACUGUGGUUUCUAAAUGCGCACAUACACUCCCCGGUAGUGCGCGUGGAAAGAGACAGAGACGGAUCACCCGGACGCGCGGACUUAAAACCUAAAAAUACAGAUACAGUUAUUGCCUCAUUUCAAAGGUACAGCACGCACAUAUCACACGCCUAGCAAAACGCCCGCCUCGCCAUACCGGUGGAUUUAUUCCAAAAAUAGAUAAAGUGUUUAUAUAUGCUGUUUACAUUUAUAUCGUUACGUUUACAUAUUACCAAGAAGUAAAGCCACAACCUAAUACAGGUUCAAAGGUCACAAUAUUACAACAGCUCUGGGGGUGGGAGGGGUCGGUAUGAAAGCAUUUGAUUUUUCCAUGUUUUAUGUGUGAUUGGUGGACAUAACCGCCACUUCUUGUCUGUGUGUCUGUGUGCGGUAUGUGUGUGUGUGUUACACAGGUGUGCUUUCCUUGUAUCCAAAUACGUCUUUAACCUUUAACCUGAGAAUACACUCCGUACCUCAGACAGAGCCCAGACACUCACAGACCAACCACAGCCAGCACAUGUAGGUCAACGUUUCAGUGUUCUAAAACAGACUGGUACACUCUGAACCAGAAACACAACCAUACAUUUAAUAAAUAGAUCAUCAAACAGAAACAACAAACAAAUAACACAAAAAAAAGAAAACAUUAAACGAAAGCUACAGUUUCAGGUAUUUGGCAUUGUUAAAUAAGAAAAAACUAAAAGAAAAGUAACACAUUUCCACUGGCUUAAACGCCUACAUAAAAGGUAUGUUGGGUACGUCUAUCUAUUUUUGGUGUGGAGUAAAAACCAGCAUGCUAGCAAGAUGAUUAUAUAUCUCAUUAUAUAUCAUUCCUUCACAGCCAGCCACCCUAUUGGAUAGUCGGCCCUUAUGCUCUGCGAUGCUGACCUUCUCAAUGAAAACAACAAUGUCGUACUGCGGAAAGCUAGGUCUGAUUGGCUGCGGUCAGUGCACACACUUGGCCUCUCUUUACAUUUGGGAAAUAAAAGUCGAAUAGAAUACAGUAAUAGUAGCAAAUGCUGCUGCCUGGACAAACAUCCGUCUUUCAUUGCUUCUGCACGCAUGAGACAUCAAAUAUGAUUGUGUCAUCAGAUCAAGGGUGCCCGUCAGAUCGUUAGACCGUAAACAUAUCACAUUCUCAUCUUACUUACAUGCGGGCUCUCCCAGACCAAAACACAACCACAACGACGACGACGACGACGAUAACGACAUAUUGUUAGGAGCCCUCUGAGGUGCAGCUUGUAUGACCUUCCACUUCUGUGUAUUACCGACACAAACAAAAGGUGUGGGGCUGGUGGCCUGGAAAUGGAGGGGCGGCGUGUGUGUGUGUGUGUGUGUGUGUGUGUGUGUGUGUGUGUGUGUGUGUGUGUGUGUGUGUGUGUGUGUGUGUGUGUGACUGUGUGUGUGUGUGUGUGUGUGUGUGUGUGUGUGUGUGUGUGUGUGUGUGUGUGACCGUGUGUGUGUGUGUGUGUGUGUGUGUGUGUGUGUGUGUGUGUGUGUGUGUGUGUGUGACUGUGUGUGUGUGUGUGUGUGUGUGUGUGUGUGUGUAUGGAGGAGGCGUGCGCGGGAGUCCAGUCUCCGGGCGGGGGUGUUAGGUCGGCCCGUUGGAGGAGAGGGGG
ensembl:lncRNA